rnacentral:rRNA from 1 species
CCUACGGGAGGCAGCAGUAGGGAAUCUUUCACAAUGGGCGAAAGCCUGAUGGAGCAACGCCGCGUGCAGGAUGAAGGCCUUCGGGUUGUAAACUGCUUUUAUAAGCGAGAAAUAUGAUGGUAACUUAUGAAUAAGGAUCGGCUAACUACGUGCCAGCAGCCGCGGUCAUACGUAGGAUCCGAGCAUUAUCCGGAGUGACUGGGUGUAAAGAGUUGCGUAGGUGGCAUAAUAAGUAGCUAGUGAAAUCUGGUGGCUCAACCAUUCAGACUAUUAGCUAAACUGUUAAGCUCGAGACCGUUAGGGGUAACUGGAAUGUCUGGUGUAGGAGUGAAAUCCGUAGAUAUUAGAAGGAACACCAAUAGCGUAGGCAGGUUGCUGGGACGGUUCUGACACUAAGGCACGAAAGCGUAGGGAGCAAACGGGAUUAGAUACCCCUGUAGUC